rnacentral:rRNA from 1 species
UACGGAGGGUGCAAGCGUUAAUCGGAAUUACUGGGCGUAAAGCGUGCGUAGGCGGUUCGUUAAGUCUGUUGUGAAAGCCCCGGGCUCAACCUGGGAAUGGCAAUGGAUACUGGCGAGCUAGAGUGUGUCAGAGGGUGGUGGAAUUCCCGGUGUAGCGGUGAAAUGCGUAGAGAUCGGGAGGAACAUCAGUGGCGAAGGCGGCCAUCUGGGACAACACUGACGCUGAGGCACGAAAGCGUGGGGAGCAAACAGG